UACAGAGGUCUCAAGCGUUGUCCGGAAUCAUUGGGCGUAAAGCGCGUGUAGGCGGUCCGGUAAGUCCGCUGUGAAAGUCGGGGGCUCAACCCUCGGAUGCCGGUGGAUACUGUCGGGCUUGAGUACGGAAGAGGCGAGUGGAAUUCCUGGUGUAGCGGUGAAAUGCGCAGAUAUCGGGAAGAACACCUAUGGCGAAGGCAGCUCUCUGGGACGGUACUGACGCUGAGACGCGAAAGCGUGGGGAGCGAACAGG
rnacentral:rRNA from 1 species